UAAAUUCAUAUCCGAUGUUAAAUAAAGUUUCUUGUAUCUUGUUCUAUAUGCCAUAUUAUAUAUCAAUCAGUUAGGGCAAAGAGCUAUAAAAUAAAUGGAUGUUAGUCAAAACGUCCCCUAGUCAAAACACCCCCCAUUUUGGUCAAAACGUCCGCCUUUUCUGGUCAAAACACCCCCCUUCCAAAAAUUACCUGGUCAAAACACCCCCCUUAAAAAUUAUAUAUGUAAAAUACAGUAAAUACAUAUUAUUUAAGUUAAUUUAAUGAUUUAAUUCAAGAAGUUUGUAAACAGGUAUACAUCUAAAAGUAUAAUUGCACAAGAAUUAAAUAAUGUGAAAAAAGUUAUAACUAUUAAAAUUAAUGAAGGUUUCCAAACAGUCUAUUAAUCCUAAUCUAAUCAUUUGCAGUGAUCGAUUGAUGUUUUAAUAACUUUGAAUUUGAUUGAAAAAACUUGUCUUUAAUCUAAAAUUUUGCAUCAAUUAAAGUAAUAAAGUAAACAGAAAUUUGCAAGCAUUUGGAAUAACUGUAAAAUCAUCCUUAAUCUUUAUUGCUUUAAUUGAUUAAUUACGCUUCAAACAUUUUUUUUCAUGCUAUAAAGUCUACAAAUAAUUAUAUUCAGCCACUUAUUUUCUUAGUAUCCUACUGUAUGUAUACUGUCUGUCUAUGUGAAUAGUGUGUUGGAUUGUUAUUUGUUUAAAUAUCAGUGCUUUAAUAAGAUAACGUAAUUAUGGAGUAUCCUUGCAUUAAGUGUAGGAACAAAGUCAGAAUUCGUCAACAGGCCAUUGCCUGCGACUUGUGUACAUGGCAACUGGCAACACAGAACCUGUGACACAGCUACCACGCAGGGGGUAUGUCUGCAAGUUCCUUGCUACAAAAAGAAGAGCACCAUUUACAAACCAAGGCUCACCACAACAGUUCAGGAUGAGGAAUAAUUGUGAUAAAAACAUUAACUAGCAAAAAAGUGAAUUUGACUUCUUGAUAUUGUGUAGCUGGAACACUGAAUUAAUAUUGUGAUAUGACAUUUUGAAUUUGACUUCUUGGUGAAGAACAGUGAAUGAAUAGUGUGAUAUGUUAUUUUUACUUCAUAAAUAUGCAGUUGUGACUUUUCUGAUGUUUUAUUAAUGUUUUAUAAAUAAAGUAAUUACUCUGA